rnacentral:rRNA from 1 species
GUGGGGAAUCUUCCGCAAUGGACGAAAGUCUGACGGAGCAACGCCGCGUGAGUGAUGAAGGUCUUCGGAUUGUAAAGCUCUGUUAAUCGGGACGAAAGAGCGCAUGGCUAAUAUCCAUGCGAAGUGACGGUACCGGAAUAGAAAGCCACGGCUAACUACGUGCCAGCAGCCGCGGUAAUACGUAGGUGGCAAGCGUUGUCCGGAAUUAUUGGGCGUAAAGCGCGCGCAGGCGGAUCUGCCAGUCUGUCUUAAAAGUUCGGGGCUUAACCCCGUGAUGGGAUGGAAACUACAGAUCUAGAGUAUCGGAGAGGAAAGUGGAAUUCCUAGUGUAGCGGUGAAAUGCGUAGAUAUUAGGAAGAACACCAGUGGCGAAGGCGACUUUCUGGACGAAAACUGACGCUGAGGCGCGAAAGCCAGGGGAGCGAACGGGAUUAGAAACCCUAGUAGUCC